rnacentral:pre_miRNA from 1 species
AUGGUACUCCCUCCGUCCAACAAAGGAUGUCUCAAGUUUGAUCAAAUUUGAAUGCAUCUAUAUACUAAGUCAUGUCUAGAUACAUCCAAAUUUUGACAAACUUGAGACAUCUUUUGUUGGACGGAGGGAGUAACAU